rnacentral:rRNA from 1 species
AUGUUGUUGUUGUCUGCACAUGCAGUUGAGGGCACCGAAGCUACAGAAACCAUUCGAUUGCGGGCCAAAGUGGGCACUCAAACAAUGUUGAUGCUAGUCGACUCGGGCAACACACACAGUUUUGUUAACUCAGCGUUUGGCACACGAAUUGGAGCUACCACCACCAACAUUCCGGCCAUCACGGUUCGGGUUGCCAAUGGCCAACGUCUGAACUGCACGUCUAUGGUUCAGAACCUGCAAUGGCUCACUCAUGGCCAGGAAUUCACCACUGAUAUGAGUGUUCUCAACCUCAGGGUCUAUGAUGCAGUACUAGGCGUUGAUUGGGUCGCCCAACAUAACCCAAUGCAAUGUGAUUGGAAGCAAAAGACCAUUCAGUUUCAGCAACAAGGCACAUCGGUUCAGUUGAUCGGUGUGCGCACUGACAAAACACCAGCACUCACUGCACUGGAUGCAGCGACAUUGUGGCAGAUGCAUGAUGCAAAUGAAAUCUGGGGUGCAACACUGUUGGAAAUUCAAUUAACACCACCGCCAACUUCAGAGAGCACCGAGGUGAUUCCACCAGUAAUUCAACAUGUCUUGACAGAAUUCAGCGACAUAUUUGCAGAGCCAACUGAACUUCCUCCACAUCGACAGUAUCAUCACGCGAUCACACUGGAACCGGGCGCAACACCUAUCAACUGUUGA